AUUGAACGCUGGCGGCAGGCCUAACACAUGCAAGUCGAACGAGUGGCGGACGGGUGAGUAAUGUCUGGGCAACUGCCCGCUGGAGGGGGAUCACUACGUGAAACAGUAGCUACUACCGCAUACCAUCGGAUGUGCCCAGAUGGGAGUAGCUAGUAGGGGUGGUAACGGCUCACCUAGGCGACGCUCCCUAGCUGGUCUGAGAGGAUGACCAGCCACACUGUAAAUGAGACACGGUCCAUACUCCUACGGGAGGCAGCAGUGGGGAAUAUUGCACAAUGGGCGCAAGCCUGAUGCAGCAAUGCCGCUUGUAUGAAGAAGGCUGUCGGGUGGUAAAGUACUUUCAGCGAGGAGGCGUUACUCGCAGAAGAAGCACCGGCUAACUCCGUGCCAGCAGCCGCGGUAAUAC
rnacentral:rRNA from 1 species